rnacentral:rRNA from 1 species
GACGAACGCUGGCGGCGUGCCUAACACAUGCAAGUCGAACGGGCCUGUCUUCUUUUUUGGGGGUGGGUUGAGUGGCGAACGGGUGAGUAUCACGUGAGUAACCUGCCCUUCGGUCCUGGAUAACCGCUUGAAAGGGCGGCUAAUACGGGGUGGUCCGGUUGGUCCGCAUGGGCUGGUCGGGAUAGAUUCACUGUUUUUGGUGUUUCGGCGGGGGAGGGGCUCGCUGCCUAUCAGCUUGUUGGUGGGGUGAUGGCAUACCAAAGGGGUGACGGGUAGCCGGGAUGGGAGGGUGGGCGGCCACAAUGGGACUGAGAUACGGCCCAGACUCCUGGGGGAGGGAGCAGUGGGGGGUAUUGCACAAUGGGCGGAAGCCUGAUGCAGCGACGUCGCGUGAGGGAUGGAGGCCUUCGGGUUGUGAACCUCUGUUUCCGGUGGUGAAGGCCAUGUCCGUGUGGUGGGGUUGACGGUAGCCGGGGAUGAAGCGCCGGCUAACUACGUG